rnacentral:misc_RNA from 1 species
AAAAUGAACCAAUAACUGAAACCUGAAAUUUUUAAAAAAUACUAACCAAACCAAAAAGAUCAAUACCAAAUAAUUGAAUAUCAUUGGUUAAAUUUAUAAAUGAAUUAUUUCUUAAUUAACUUCAAGUUUAUUAUCACUUCCUGAUAUCAUGUACUCAAUGAGAAUCAAAGCCAAUAAUCAUGGGAGACAUACCAGAGCAAUAUCGAUGCUAGUG